rnacentral:rRNA from 1 species
AUGGACGCGCCGAGCGCCACCGCCAAGCGCAAGCGCUCCUCCCCCGCCCCGGCCCCCGUCGGCGUCGACGACGUGUCGGACGCCGAGGUCGAGGAGUUCUACGCCAUCCUGCGCCGCAUGCGCGAUGCCUCGCGCCGGCUCGUCUCGGGCGGGGUCGCCGCGGCCACGGCCCGCGCCGCCCCGGCCCCGCGCGCGCCCGCCUGGUGCCCCAGCUUCUCCUGGGAGGACUUCGCGCCGCCCGCCCCGCCGCCGCCUCCUCCCUCGCAGCAGCAGCAGCGGGAGCCCGCCGACGAGCGCGUCGCCGAGAACGGCACGCCGCCGCGGCGGCCGGUCCUCCGCGGCCUCGACCUCAACGCCGAGCCGGAGCCCGAGGUGCAAGCCUAG